rnacentral:pre_miRNA from 1 species
UGGACAGAUUAUUGUAUUCAACUGUAUUCACAACGUAAAAUAGGGGAUUACACUAUUUUUAAAAUGGAAAGUGAAUCAAUUAACAUAAUAGACUCCU